rnacentral:tmRNA from 5 species
GGGGAUGCAGGGAAUCGAUGAUGAUUUAAUCUAUAAACACUCAAAGCGUGCAAUCUAAAUCGCCACGCAAAUCCGUUUUAGAAAACAUAAGUGCAAACAAAAUUGCCAGCAAAGUGAAGACUGCUUUCAGCAUGCCUAUCUUUGCUCCUGUUGCCGCUUAAUUGCCGCAACCAUCCGUAUCAGCGAUGGUCUGAUAGCUGAACCACGGGUGUCAUAUUAUUAGACUAGAUUUAUAUGUUGCGUUUACUUAUAAAUUGAAGUUUAAAACGCUAGUUAUUGCUGAUUUUGUUUAGUCUUUACAGCAAUAAUAAAACAACAGAUUAAACUAACUUUGUACAAGUGUUUAAAAGAUAAUUGUCAGACGCGAGUUCAACUCUCGCCAUCUCCACAA